AUUGAACGCUGGCGGCAGGCCUAACACAUGCAAGUCGAGCGGAUGAAGGGAGCUUGCUCCUGGAUUCAGCGGCGGACGGGUGAGUAAUGCCUAGGAAUCUGCCUGGUAGUGGGGGAUAACGUCCGGAAACGGGCGCUAAUACCGCAUACGUCCUGAGGGAGAAAGUGGGGGAGCUUCGGACAUCACGCUAUCAGAUGAGCCUAGGUCGGUUUAGCUAGUUGGUGGGGUAAAGGCCUACCAAGGCGACGAUCCGUAACUGGUCUGAGAGGAUGAUCAGUCACACUGGAACUGGGCCACGGUCCAGACUCCUACGGGAGGCAGCAGUGGGGAAUAUUGGACAGUGGGCGAAAGCCUGAUCCAGCCAUGCCGCGUGUGUGAAGAAGGUCUUCGGAUUGUAAAGCACUUUAAGUUGGGAGGAAGGGCAGUAAGUUAAUACCUUGCUGUUUUGACGUUACCAACAGAAGAAGCACCGGCUAACUUCGUG
rnacentral:rRNA from 1 species